CAUGGCUGAGCUGUGAUUCUAUACUAUAGCACCGUAAUUAGUGAAGUUUAUUUUAUGGUUACGUUUAAGGCCUAUCUCUGUCUCCCAGCACACCGUGUAUUAUAACUGCAGCUAUAAGGUUAUGGUGUAAGGAUGUCCCCUGUCUCUUUGCACACAGUGUAUUAUAACUGCAGCUAUAAGGUUAUGGUGUAAGGAGGUCCCCUGUCUCUUUGCACACAGUGUAUUAUAACUGCAGCUAUAAGGUUAUGGUGUAAGGAGGUCCCCUGUCUCUUUGCACACAGUGUAUUAUAACUGCAG